rnacentral:rRNA from 1 species
CCAAUAGCGUAUAUUAAAGUUGCUGCAGUUAAAAAGCUCGUAGUUGAAUUUCGGGACCAUCAUGUUGGUCGUGCCUCGGUACGUACUGGCAUUGUUGGUUUCUCCCUUCUGACGAACCAUGAUGUCAUUUAUUUGGUGUUGUGGGGAAUCAGGACUGUUACUUUGAAAAAAUUAGAGUGUUUAAAGCAGGCUCACGCUUGAAUACAUUAGCAUGGAAUAAUGAAAUAGGACGUUUGAUUCUAUUUUGUUGGUUUCUAGGAUCGACGUAAUGAUUAAUAGGGAUAGUUGGGGGCAUUAGUAUUCAAUUGUCAGAGGUGAAAUUCUUGGAUUUAUUGAAGACUAACUACUGCGAAAGCAUUUGCCAAGGAUGUUUUCAUUAAUCAAGAACGAAAGUUAGGGGAUCGAAGACGAUCAGAUACCGUCGUAGUCUUAACCAUAAACUAUGCCGACUAGGGAUCGGAUGAUGUUAAUUUUUUAAUGACUCAUUCGGCGCCUUACG